ensembl:lncRNA
GGCUGGUUCCUGUGAAGGAGUGUUGUGUAGCUAGAGAUCCUAUCGCUAGUUGGCUAUUACUCUGUAAUAUGAGGUAGAAGAAGCUUCAGCUGGACAUGAUUAUUUCAUCUAUUAGCAGGAAGGGAAGAAAUCUGAGAAGAGAAGCUUUGUGAAUACUCGUGCAUGUAGUUCUUGGGAAUUGCCUUCUUUUGUUUGUAACCUUAAGCACUUCUUUCGUGUGCAGAUUUGCUGCAUGUUUUCUUUAGAGAGGUGGCACAACUUCCAAUUGAGAGGUGGCCUAUGUUUUGUUGUAUGCCUUUUGCUUUUAAUAUGCUGAAUCAAACUAAAACUCAAUUUUCUCUGAUGAAAGAGCUCCUUGGCAUUUGUAAACGGAUUAUCUUGGUUUGUAUAGUGUUUCUUAAUAACAGCAGCGGUUGUUUCUAUUGUAGUCCGCUUUUUAGGACCCCAGGAAGGCUCGAGCUGAAACUGAGGAAAUGAAGGAUAUUCCCUUGUUCAGAAAGAAUCUAGGUACUAAAAACCAGUAUAUGCUUACCUGUUCUGAGAGCACUUGCAAGUCUGAUCCCUUAUUCGAAGACACUUACGUUUGCCUUCAGGAAUAAGCAUUGAUGUG